CAUUUCCCCAGCAGGCCCAGGAAGUUUCUGCUAUGUUGCUGUGGGCUGCACUCAGCAUCCUGGUCUGGGGCGCUGGCUCUGUCUUCCUUAUUCUGGUCUUCUUCAACUACAUGUGCAGCUCUGGCAGAAGUCUUAUCCCUGGGACCUCCAGUGCUGCUCCACAGAUCUGACUGGGAAAAUAGCCAUAGUGACUGGGGCCAACAGUGGAUUCCCAAGACACUUACCCCAGGGGGCCUGGAUCUCACCUUUGUCACUAACUAUGUUGGGCCCUUUCUGCUCACAAAUCUACUCCAAGGAAUGACUGUGAAUGCUGUGGAGCCCGGUGUUGUAUACAUGGGGAUUAUGAGGCAUUUCUCUUAGCCAUAAUGCUUCCUCUUCUAGCUUGUCAGCUUCUUCAUGAAGGAUCUCAAACAAGGUGUACUCCCAGUUCUCUACUUGAGCUUGGCAGAGGAGCCGGGUGGUAUUUCUGGAAAAUAUUUCAGCAGUUCCUGUGUGAUAACUCUUCCCGUUAAAGCCUCUCGGGAUCCUCAUGUUGCCCAGAGCCUCUGGAAUGCCUCAGUCCGACUGACAAGCCUAGUCAAGAUGGACUGACCCUCUGUGACCUCUGCCCUAACUUGCCACCCUGCCUCUAACUUCCAGCACUUACUCUGAUUAUGCCCUCUGUUUGCUGGCUUCUAGGACCAAUUACUGUCCAGUAUAAUGACCACUUUCUCUGCCUGUUGGCUUAGUGAUGACUUGAGAGUCAAGAAUAGUCAGGGGCCAGCUGCGAUGGCUCACACCUGUAAUCCCAAUGCUUUGGGAGGCUGAGGUAGGCAGAUUGCUUGAGCUCAGGAGUUCAUGACCAGCCUAGAGCAACAUGGAAAAACCCCAUCUCUACAAAAAAAUACAAAAAUUAGCUGAGCAGGGUGGUGUGUUCCUGUGGUCCCAGUUAUUUGGGAGUGUAAGGUGGGAGGAUUGCAUUGAGACCGGGAGGUCGAGGCUGCAGUGAGCCAAGAUGGCACCACUGCACUCCAGUCUGGGUGACAGAGCAAGACCCUGUCUCAAAAAGAAAAAAAAAAAAGAAUAAUUCACACAGUUUAAUCUUCCACUUUAUUGCCAGUUAGCCGGUGGAAGUAUUCAUCUUUUGGGAACUAUGAUCUCCCAACCUACCGGGUGCUGUGGUGGGUUGUGGUGACUUGAAGUAAGACUCUUUCUGGGGAGCGUUAGGGAUACCAGUAAGAAGGGAAACUUUCAUUUGUACCUCUUGAUUCCCAGACCUGUGCUUCUUGCCUAUGGGGAAGAUAGCCCCACACAGUGACCUCUGGAUUAAGGCAUUUACCACAUCCUGUAGCACAGCACCCCAACCUCACAGGGAGUUGUCUCCCAACUAGUAUUGUACUGAGCCUGCUCUGGGUGAUGAGUCAUAAAAUCCAGUUAAUUUAGGGAGUAUGAGUCCAUUGCUCCUUUUCUGGGAUCUUUGUUCAUGUAUAUAAAUUUUAGAAUCAGCUCUUUGAAUUUCACACACACACACACACACACACACACACACACACCCUGUUGGGGAUUGCAUUGAAUCUAUAGAUAUACUUGGGAGGAUUGACAUUUUUAUGAGAUUGAGUCUUCCUAACCAUGGACAAGGUUGACUCUUAUAUCUAUUUAAAUCUUCUAAAUACCUGUACAAAACUUUAAAUAAUUUUAUCCACAAAGAUCUUGUACAGAAGUUUUGCUGCAUUUAUAUUCAGGCACUUUCAUUUUUAUGCUAUUAUAAAUGAUAUUUUAAAAUGUGUAUAUCUGUUGACGGCUGUGUGAAACCUCAGUUCUUAGUUUGAAAGAAUUUAAACAAGGGACACACAGCAAAAGAAGUGCAGCAUAGAGUAAUUUAUUGCACAAGAAAAAGAAUAUUUUGAAAGGUAGGUGCAGAACAGACAGUACACCGAGAGUGAGAGAAUUCAGGGCAGGCUGCUCAUAAGGAUGAGACAGCAAAGACUGGCACUAGGGAGACUCUUAUGGAAGUCUGACAUGAUUAUUCAUGAGGUGGGAAGAGGUGUUACUAGUAAGCAUGUUCUGGGUGGUCCUCUGGGUGUGGAUGUGCAGUAGCUGUAUAUGCUUGUUCAUAUGUCACAUGUCUCAUUAGCAUCUUCAAUAUCCAGGGGUGUACUUUUUACUAAUAAAAUGAGCAAAGGGUCAGUUUGAGGACAGGUAAAUCAAACUGCACAUGCUGUCUGCAGGGGAAAUUCCCUACUGAAGAUAGCUUUGCUUGAAUGAGCUCAGUUACAAUGCAUAUGCUGAGGUUUAUUGUGUUGAUUGUACAGUCACCACUGUUGCUGCCUUGACUACUUGGUCACUUCCUUGACUACCUCUCCUGCCUCAUAUUGAUCUUAUAUCAAACAACUUUAUUAAGUUAUCUAGUUCUAAUAAGUCAUCCAUAGAUUCUCUUGGUUUUUCUACAUGGAAAAUCACAUCAUCCAGGAAUAAUCACAGUUUUAUUUCUUCCGUUGUAACUAUUCCAACUUAUAUUUCUUUUUCUAGAAAACUUUAAUAGAUUUUCUAGUAUUGAAACAACCUUACAUUUCUGGAAUAAACCCAACUUUGUAAUAAUGUUACCUUUUUUAUGCAUUGCUAAACAGCCUGCUCAUUUUUUUAAAAACUUUUUACUAUGUUCAUAAAGGAGAUUGGCCC